GACGAACGCUGGCGGCGUGCUUAACACAUGCAAGUCGAACGGAAAGGCCCCUUCGGGGGUACUCGAGUGGCGAACGGGUGAGUAACACGUGGGUGAUCUGCCCUGCACUUCGGGAUAAGCCUGGGAAACUGGGUCUAAUACCGGAUAGGACCACGGGAUGCAUGUCCUGUGGUGGAAAGCUUUUGCGGUGUGGGAUGGGCCCGCGGCCUAUCAGCUUGUUGGUGGGGUGACGGCCUACCAAGGCGACGACGGGUAGCCGGCCUGAGAGGGUGUCCGGCCACACUGGGACUGAGAUACGGCCCAGACUCCUACGGGAGGCAGCAGUAGGGAAUAUUGCACAAUGGGCGCAAGCCUGAUGCAGCGACGCCGCGUGGGGGAUGACGGCCUUCGGGUUGUAAACCUCUUUCAGCAGGGACGAAGCGCAAGUGACGGUACCUGCAGAAGAAGCACCGGCCAACUACGUGCCAGCAGCCGCGGUAAUACGUAGGGUGCGAGCGUUGUCCGGAAUUACUGGGCGUAAAGAGCUCGUAGGUGGUUUGUCGCGUUGUUCGUGAAAACCGGGGGCUUAACCCUCGGCGUGCGGGCGAUACGGGCAGACUGGAGUACUGCAGGGGAGACUGGAAUUCCUGGUGUAGCGGUGGAAUGCGCAGAUAUCAGGAGGAACACCGGUGGCGAAGGCGGGUCUCUGGGCAGUAACUGACGCUGAGGAGCGAAAGCGUGGGGAGCGAACAGGAUUAGAUACCCUGGUAGUCCACGCCGUAAACGGUGGGUACUAGGUGUGGGUUUCCUUCCUUGGGAUCCGUGCCGUAGCCAACGCAUUAAGUACCCCGCCUGGGGAGUACGGCCGCAAGGCUAAAACUCAAAGGAAUUGACGGGGGCCCGCACAAGCGGCGGAGCAUGUGGAUUAAUUCGAUGCAACGCGAAGAACCUUACCUGGGUUUGACUUGCACAGGACGCCGGCAGAGAUGUCGGUUCCCUUGUGGCCUGUGUGCAGGUGGUGCAUGGCUGUCGUCAGCUCGUGUCGUGAGAUGUUGGGUUAAGUCCCGCAACGAGCGCAACUCUUGUCUCAUGUUGCCAGCGGGUAAUGCCGGGGACUCGUGAGAGACUGCCGGGGUCAACUCGGAGGAAGGUGGGGAUGACGUCAAGUCAUCAUGCCCCUUAUGUCCAGGGCUUCACACAUGCUACAAUGGCCGGUACAAAGGGCUGCGAUGCCGCGAGGCUUAGCGAAUCCUUUUAAAGCCGGUCUCAGUUCGGAUCGGGGUCUGCAACUCGACCCCGUGGAGUCGGAGUCGCUAGUAAUCGCAGAUCAGCAACGCUGCGGUGAAUACGUUCCCGGGCCU
rnacentral:rRNA from 1 species